rnacentral:siRNA from 1 species
UGUUGUGGUUGCUCAUACGAG